rnacentral:tRNA from 1 species
GGGUCCUUAGCCAAGCGGUAAGGCAAUGGAUUGCAAAUCCAUCAUCCCCGGUUCGAUUCCGGGAGGACCCUC